rnacentral:rRNA from 1 species
GACGAACGCUGGCGGCGUGCUUAACACAUGCAAGUCGAACGGUGACGGAGAGCUUGCUCUCCUGAUCAGUGGCGAACGAGUGAGUAACACGUGGGCAACCUGCCCCAGACUUCGGGAUAACGCUUCGAAAGAGGUGCUAAUACCGGAUACGAACUCCUUGGGCAUCCUUGGAGUUGGAAAGUUUUUCGGUCUGGGAUGGGCCCGCGGCCUAUCAGCUAGUUGGUGAGGUAACGGCUCACCAAGGCGACGACGGGUAGCCGGCCUGAGAGGGCGACCGGCCACACUGGGACUGAGACACGGCCCAGACUCCUACGGGAGGCAGCAGUGGGGAAUAUUGCGCAAUGGGCGAAAGCCUGACGCAGCAACGCCGCGUGAGGGAUGACGGCCUUCGGGUUGUAAACCUCUUUCAGCAGGGAAGAAGCGAAAGUGACGGUACCUGCAGAAGAAGCACCGGCUAACUACGUGCCAGCAGCCGCGGUAACAC